ensembl:snoRNA U3 Small nucleolar RNA U3
AGGAGUAUACUUUCAAGGGUCAUUUCUGUAGUUGGUCACUAGAAGAGAGUGAUCGCACCUGUAUGGCAUCACAAGCCACGAGGAGGAGCAGGGUGCUCUCCCCUGAGCCGGGAGGGAGAGAGAGCAUGGGCUGAGCAGU